GUUUUGUUGGAGGCUCUCAGACUAACCAUGGUCCUGUGGCACUAUCUAUUAACCUUAAGGCAGGCUGUCAUGAUCCUGUUCCUGGGAGGAUGAGGCUAUGCCAACCAAGGAGAGCAUGAAGUGGUAAACCACAAAGGUUAUAAAGUUGACUGCACCCAAAGUAAAUUGGAACAAGUUCCAUCACAAAUAUGCCCUUUGUUGGACUGAAAACAAAUGGGAUGUCAUGAAGACUUAUGGAGGAGAUUAGAUGAUGUAAUUGUAACCCUCUCUGUGAAGAAACUAAGAGAAUAUCAAUGAUAACAACAACAACAACAAUAACAAUAAUAAUAAUACGGUGCCAUUAAAA